AUGGACAUCAGGCUCAGAGUGGUUUCCUUUGUCUUUUUUGUAAAACGUUUCCAGUGUGAAGUUCAGCUGGUGGAGUCUGGGGGAGGCUUAGUGCAGCCUGGGAGGUCUCUGAAACUAUCCUGUGCAGCCUCUGGAUUCACUUUCAAUAACUUCUGGAUGGCUUGGAUUCAUCAGGCUCCAGAAAUGGGGCUGGAGUGGGUAGCAUCCAUUAAUAGAAGUGAUGGUACCUACUAUCCAGACACUGUGAAGGGCCGAUUCACCAUCUCCAGAGACAAUGCCAAGAACAUUCUAUACCUGCCAAUGAGAAAUCUGAGGUCUGAAGACACGGCCAUAUAUUACUGUGCAAGAGACACUGUGAGUGAGUAA